rnacentral:ncRNA from 1 species
AUAAUUUACAAUAGCUAAGAGUUGGAAACAGCCUAAGUGGCCAUCAGCAGAUGAGUGGAUUUAAAAAUUGUGGUAUCCCUAGCCAGUUUGGCUCAGUGGAUAGAGCAUCCACCUGCAGACUGAAAGGUCCCAGGUUCAAUUCCAAUCAAUGGCACGUGCAGGGGGCAUGCAGAAAGCAGCCAAUUAGUGAUUCUCUAUCAUCACUGAUGCUUCUAUCCCUCUCUCCCUUCCUCUCUGAAAUUAAUAAAAAAUUUAUUAAAAAUAAUACUAAAAAAUAAUAAGUAAAAAGCUGUGGUACAUCAGCACAAUGGCAUACUAUGCUGCUGUAAAAAAAGAACUCUUUCGCGAAGGCCCGCGGCGGGUGUUGAUGCAAUGUGAUUUCUGCCCAGUGCUCUGAAUGUCAAAGUGAAGAAAUUCAAUGAAGCGCGGGUAAACGGCAGGAGUAACUAUGACUCUCCUACAGUAGCCAAAUGCCUCAUCAUCUAAUUAGACGCACAUGUGAAUGGAUGAACAAGAUUCCCACUGUCCCUACCUACUAUCCAGUGAAACCACAGCCAAGGGAAUGGGCUUGGCGGAAUCAGUGGGGAAAGAAGACCCUGUUGAGCUUGACUCUAGUCUGGCACGGUGAAGAGACAUGAGAGGUGUAGAAUAAGUGGGAGGCCCCCGGUACCCCUUCCCUGAGUCCCCGCGAGGGGGCAGGGAGGGGGGCACGCCGGCCUUGCAUGCACCCAUAUGUUUAUAGAAGCACAAUUCACCAUAGCUAAGAUCUGGAAACAGCCUAAGUGCCCAUCAGUAGAUGAAUGGAUUAGAAAACUGUGGUACAUCUACACGAUGGAAUACUAUGCUGCUGUAAAAAA